AAACAAACACUGCAGUGUAUCAUGCAUGUGUGUGUGUGAGAGAGAAUAUCAAUUCAUUCAUUCAUUGUUAGUUUUACCACCACUGGGUCUGAUUCAUUAAGCAAAAGACACACAACACCCUAGACAGGGUACACACACACUUGGACUUGAUGGAGGAAGCUGGAGCAACUGGGGGAAACCCACACAGACACGGGGAGAACAUGCAAACUCCACACAGAAAGGACUCCGGCUGCCAAGCCGGGGAAUCGAACCCAGGACCUUAAUGCUGUGAGGUGACAGUGCUACCCACAGAACCAAUAUAUAUAUAUAUGAUAUGUUUAUUUAAAGGGAUAAAGGAACUGGAGACAUUUUUCCCCCUGAUAUUUAAAUUAGACAACCUGCCAAUUAAAUAAAUCCAACAUUGUCUAA